AAAAAAGGUUAAAAAAAAAAAAGGGGAAAAAAAAAAAAAAACUUGUUAGCGGUGUGUAAUAAGUACACGAGUAUUUUCGUUGUUAAGUAAAACGCUUUUUCAGAAUUAUAUACUCGCGGAUGCGACGACGCUAUUCCACGUAGUAGGUUUAUACACGCGUAAUAGUAAACUACUCGGUUGUAAUCGACAUGCCUUCGAACACGUCUCUCUGACUCUGGGGGGAUUGAUAACGUCGGGGGAUGGAUGCUUCUCUCGCGCCUCUUCCUAUCCCUUUGAAAACGAGGAGGCUUUGUUCCCCUCCUCCCUCCCCUUUUAUCGCAUUUCCACGUUCAAUUGCUGCUCUCCUCUGCCACGCCUUGAUAGUUGGAAACUUUGUUGAAAGAGAAGGGGUUGAAGAUUUGGAGAUGUAAGAGAGAGAGAGAGAGAGAGAGAGAGAGAGAGA
rnacentral:lncRNA from 1 species